rnacentral:rRNA from 1 species
GUCCAUAUGUUCUGUUUUAUAUGGUCUGGCCUGCCCACUGAUAUCUAAAAUUAAAGGGCCGCGGUAUUCUGACCGUGCGAAGGUAGCAUAAUAAUUAGUCUCCUAAUUAGAGGCUUGUAUGAAUGGUCGGACAAGAUGGGAACUGUCUCAAUACAAUAAAUAAAAUUUAAUGUUUAAGUAAAAAAGCUUAAAUAAUAUGGAGGGACGAUAAGACCCUAUAAAGCUUUAUAGUAUAUUACUUUUAUACAAAUUGUUUUGUUAUUAACGUAUUUUAGAUUAUAUAUUAUUUUACUGGGGCGGUAAAAGUAUAAUAAAGACUAACUGCUUUUAUUUUGAAUAACAAUUGUAGUUGGAAGUAAAUUGAUCCAUUAUUAAUGAUUAUAAAAACAAGUUA